rnacentral:rRNA from 1 species
UACGAAGGGGGCUAGCGUUGCUCGGAAUUACUGGGCGUAAAGCGCACGUAGGCGGAUUCUUAAGUCAGGGGUGAAAUCCCGGAGCUCAACUCCGGAACUGCCUUUGAUACUGAGAGUCUCGAGUCCGGGAGAGGUGAGUGGAACUCCGAGUGUAGAGGUGAAAUUCGUAGAUAUUCGGAAGAACACCAGUGGCGAAGGCGGCUCACUGGCCCGGUACUGACGCUGAGGUGCGAAAGCGUGGGGAGCAAACAGG